rnacentral:rRNA from 1 species
GGGUGGUAAUGCCGGAUGCUCCAGUUGAUCGCAUGGUCUUCUGGGAAAGCUUUCGCGGUAUGGGAUGGGGUCGCGUCCUAUCAGCUUGACGGCGGGGUAACGGCCCACCGUGGCUUCGACGGGUAGCCGGCCUGAGAGGGCGACCGGCCACAUUGGGACUGAGAUACGGCCCAGACUCCUACGGGAGGCAGCAGUGGGGAAUAUUGCACAAUGGGCGCAAGCCUGAUGCAGCGACGCCGCGUGAGGGAUGGAGGCCUUCGGGUUGUAAACCUCUUUUAUCGGGGAGCAAGCGAGAGUGAGUUUACCCGUUGAAUAAGCACCGGCUAACUACGUGCCAGCAGCCGCGGUAAUACGUAGGGUGCAAGCGUUAUCCGGAAUUAUUGGGCGUAAAGGGCUCGUAGGCGGUUCGUCGCGUCCGGUGUGAAAGUYCAUCGCUUAACGGUGGAUCCGCGCCGGGUACGGGCGGGCUUGAGUGCGGUAGGGGAGACUGGAAUUCCCGGUGUAACGGUGGAAUGUGUA